GAAGCAUUCCGCACCAUCGCUCCGAUGCCAACUGUCGCAUCGGUGAGGAAAGUCCGGACAGCGCAGGGCAUUCCGCUACCUAACAGGUAGGACCCGCAAGCGUGAGCGCGCGGGGCCGGCAAGUGCAACAGAAAGUAUACCGCCUACCUUUGGGUAGGUAAGGGUGAAAUGGUGGAGUAAGUGCCCACCGGUGUUUCGGGUGACCGGAGCAGCCAGGUAAACCCCGGGAGUUGAAAGGCCAUGUAUACCGGCGAUGCUCACCAUAUAGUUUCCCCUGCCGAAGACAGACGGCAUAAGUGGUAGACUUGGUGAGUGAAAGGGCGGCUCGCCCCAGUCGGAGGGUAGGCCGAUUGAGCCUGUUGGUGACGACAGGCCCAGAUAAAUGAUGGUGAUUUUGCUUCGGCAAGAUACAGGAUCCGGCUUAUAAGAAUGCGAAGAGA
rnacentral:RNase_P_RNA from 1 species